GUUCAUAUCACUGAGGACUCUGAAUACAGAAAGUGUAAUGAUGGAGUCUACAUGGCGGGGUGGGCUCGCUGUGUGGGAGAGAUGCUGAAAGAUACCCUGAGAGUCUGAUGUGGACAUGGGACAAAGUGGUUCUGGGUCAAAUGAAUAGAAUGGUCACUUGAUGGCUCCCAGAACAAUGCAGAGCGUGGGGCACCACUGUGUCUAUGGAGCAUUAGCUCCAGGGUCACCAUUGUAUCUAUGUCACUAUGUGUUCACAGUGUGCCUGCCUGAUACACUUGUUCUACAUCAGUGCACUCUCAAAAGCCAGAUGCCCCUGGAUGUGGUUGUGAGAGGAAUGGACACCUGUCUUCUAUAACAUGAAGUCACGAGAGCAGCUCCCAUUAUGAGCAAUGGCAAAGUCCUCCCAGGACACAGAAAAAGGCUCAAACUCCAGAGCCAGGGUAACUCUACAGACCCGGUUACGUUGACAUAUGCUGGGUACUUCUCAGAUGUCUAGUUACCAAGGCUGGUUCAUUCGGUGAUGGCCAGGACACUCACAAACAACCAUCACCGAGGAGCAGAACAGUAUCUCUUUCUAGGAGAUUGGUUGGAAUCUGCCAGUAUGCAUAGGGGAGAACCGAGCACAUGCCACCCUGUGAUGACUUCCUUCCCGAGGCUGGAUCCCACUUCUAACACUCAUGGAGCGAUGAUGCACAUCCUGUAAUCAGUGGGAGUUGGCGCACAAUACAAAACUCUUCAGAGUUUGAA